CCUGGGGAGGGCGGUCCCUCAGCCUGGAUGGCGAGAGGGCGCAGGCCAGACCGAGUGACCCCACUGGUGCACA
rnacentral:pre_miRNA from 1 species